GUUAACAGGCUGAUCUUCCCCAAGAGCUCACAUCGACGGGAAGGUCUGACACCUCGAUGUCGGCUCUUUGCCACUUGGGGCUGUAGUAUGUUCCAAGGGUUGGGCUGUUCGCCCAUUAAAGCGGUACGUGAGCUGGGUUCAGAACGUCGUGAGACAGUUC
rnacentral:sRNA from 1 species